GUGAAUCAUCGAAUCUUUGAACGCAUAUUGCACUCUCUGGUAUUCCGGAGAGUAUGCCUGUUUGAGGGUAAUUAAAACGAAUCUUUACCAAUUUUUUUUGGUUAUAGGUAAUGAGUUCUCCGCGUCUAUAGUGGUACCUUGAAAUAAAUCAUCAAGCCUCAUUUUAGUCGAGACGCGUAAUAAUAUUAUUUUGCGAAAUCUUCAUUAUGUGAUUAUCAAGUUUUGACGUAUACAA
rnacentral:misc_RNA from 1 species